GGCUAACGCUCGAAACGUCAGCUUUUGUAAUCGUUACGGUGGCCAAUUUACCAUUUCAACUUUGUUGAUAUAUCCAGUUUAAGACUAGGUUUAUUAGGGAUGGUUCUCGCUAGUUUAAACUUUGUUCAUGUUGGACAUACCUGUCUCACUUAAAAAAUUUAAUAAUAGUUCUCGGGGACCUUUAACGUUAGGGUAUCGUAUUUAAACAGAAUUUUAAAGGUGUAAAAUUGAAGUUCAGUGACAUUUAACAAUUAAAAGAUUGGUAACGUAAGUAAAUAUACCAAAAAGAUCUUUCGAUCGAUCGGUACCCUUCCGAAAUUUUUAAAAAAUAUGCCAUUCUUGUGUUUUUAUGAGUGCUAACAAGAUCAGGCGACUUGACUUUAGUUUUGGGCGACAUGAUUUCAGGCGAGAGGACUCGGGCGACUUGACCGGUUACCAGGUUACCAGCCAAAUGAUAGCGGCGCUGAUAACCUUAAAAGAGAAGUGGAAGCAGUUUUUAAUGAUGGUCCUCUCCUACAAUUGUUUCCUCUAGACGAGAAGCGUUUCAACUCAGCAAAAUAUCGUCAUGAUGAUCGACUGCUUUGCGUUUGAUGGUUAGCAGUCUAACAGAAACAUCAUAACAACGAAACAAUCCAAUUAAGCCGGGCAUGCCGAGCAUUUUUUUAAUUCGAACGGACACACUGCAGAGCACUAAAGGGAGCGAAGUAAGAAGUGUGGGUAAAGAAAGUAACUUAUUUAGGUUGAUUGUUUAAUCUUUUUAUAAUACCGCGCUAUUCUGCAUUAAAAAAAAAAAAGUAAGAAUCUCAAGGGACUUGAUAUUCCAUGGACCAUGGACCCAGUCCAAAGACUCAGCCUACCCCGAGUCUCCUACGGCUAAGUGGUAAAGCACUUGAAGUACUGUUUGGGGCUGCUUCGGUGGGAGUAACGAAAUAAUUUGGAUAUAUCAACAACGUUGAAAUGGCAUUAACACCAGCUUGAAAUACUGGUCGGAAGUUGGAAGGUUCGACUCCUUCAGGAAGCACUCAGAGUUCCAUUUCUCCGAGUUUCUCAACCUUGUCACUGAAAUAUUUUAGCGUCGCUCAAAAUAAUUUGGUAAUACUUAAACACCUCUUUCUUGCUGGGACAAGAACAGUAACACUAGCUUUCAACAUUGAAAAGGAAUGAAAAACAUGGUAUGGGAACGUAACUGCAGUUGAAAAAGAGAUGUUGAUCAAAAUAGCUUCUGGAGUGCUUACAGUACAGAUGAAACUCAAAAUUAAAGCGAUAUUUUAGAUGGCUGAGUUGUUCAACACAAUAUUUGUUAUUCUUACUUUUCUUUCAUGAGAGGAGGCUUCCACAACGCAAGAACCACCACAUAUUUACAUGGACCCGAGUGACUGGGUCUCAUCAUCACCCGAAAGCGAAAGCUUUGAGAGGGAAAAUUCCCUUCUGUUAUUCCGAUGGCAACUGAUCAAUAUCCAGCUACUUGGGUGCUGACAAGGAGAAUUUUUCAACACUCAAGAGUUCCUUUAGUUUGUGAUCAUUUCUGUUAUUCUCAGAACCUUAAUGGUUUAUUCACCAUUGAUACUGUGAGGAGAUACUAGAUGUCAAUCGCUCUUAGAGGUUAAAAAGUUGAGGCAUUUUUAAAAGGUACACAGCUAGUCUUAGUGUUUCAUUUAUUUUGUAACAACACCUCAGCGAUAUAGUAUCCUGUGAGGCGGCUACAAAAAAAAAAAAAAACAGGCCAAAAUACAGCCCGAUAUGAAACCAAGACUCUUGGAGUUUUCAAAACCACUCAACGUUGUUCAUAAAUAAAUAUUAUAAAGUCUUACGUCUUAGACUGUACUCUUACCUAUGGUAGCUCCGAUAUCAGAAUCAAAUGUGUCAUCAGUGAGCUUUAGAAGCAGGUCGUGAUUAGAAGUAGAUAGCAUUCAAAUAAAGAAGUUCACAAUAA